rnacentral:ncRNA from 2 species
UAGCGGAGGAAAAGAAACUAACAAGGAUUCCCCUAGUAACGGCGAGUGAAGAGGGAAGAGCCCAAGAUUGAAAGCUGGCGUCUUCGGCGUCCGCAUUGUAAUCUCAAGAAGUGUUUUCCGCUUCGGACCAAGCCUAAGUCCCCUGGAAAGGGGCAUCAUAGAGGGUGAUAAUCCCGUACAUGGCUUGGAGCGCCCGAGGCUUUGUGAUACGCUUUCUAAGAGUCGAGUUGUUUGGGAAUGCAGCUCAAAAUGGGUGGUAAAUGCCAUCUAAGGCUAAAUAUUGGGGAGAGACCGAUAGCGAACAAGUACAGUGAUGGAAAGAUGAAAAGAACUUUGAAAAGAGAGUUAAACAGUACGUGAAAUUGCCAAAAGGGAAGGGUAGGAGGUCAGAGAUGCGGCCUGGGAUUCAGCCUUGCUUUUGCUUGGUGUUUUUCCCAGAUUGCAGGCCAACGUCGGUUUUGGGCACUGGAGAAGGGUAGGAGGAACGUGGCACCUCUCGGGGUGUGUUAUAGCCUCCUACUGGAUACAGCGACCGAGACCGAGGACAGCAGCGUACUCGCAAGAGCGGGCCUUCGGGCACCUUUACGCUUAGGGCGUUGGCAUAAUGGCCCUCUACCACCCGUCUUGA